GCCUCUCCUCACCUGGCUGGGCUUUCUCCCAGGGUGGUGGCUGGGUUCCAAGAGUGAGUGUCCCAAGAGAACCAGGCAGAAGCU